rfam:Cricetulus griseus cell line CHO-K1, whole genome shotgun sequence.
UUUUCAGUCAGGCUACUGACUAAUAUCCAGCUCUUGGCUGGAAUUAGUCAAACCCUGACUGUAAA